rnacentral:rRNA from 1 species
GAUGAACGCUGGCGGCGUGCCUAAUACAUGCAAGUCGAGCGAACGGACGAGAAGCUUGCUUCUCUGAUGUUAGCGGCGGACGGGUGAGUAACACGUGGAUAACCUACCUAUAAGACUGGGAUAACUUCGGGAAACCGGAGCUAAUACCGGAUAAUAUUUUGAACCGCAUGGUUCAAAAGUGAAAGACGGUCUUGCUGUCACUUAUAGAUGGAUCCGCGCUGCAUUAGCUAGUUGGUAAGGUAACGGCUUACCAAGGCAACGAUGCAUAGCCGACCUGAGAGGGUGAUCGGCCACACUGGAACUGAGACACGGUCCAGACUCCUACGGGAGGCAGCAGUAGGGAAUCUUCCGCAAUGGGCGAAAGCCUGACGGAGCAACGCCGCGUGAGUGAUGAAGGUCUUCGGAUCGUAAAACUCUGUUAUUAGGGAAGAACAUAUGUGUAAGUAACUGUGCACAUCUUGACGGUACCUAAUCAGAAAGCCACGGCUAACUACGUGCCAGCAGCCGCGGUAAUACGUAAGUGGCAAGCGUUAUCCGGAAUUAUUGGGCGUAAAGCGCGCGUAGGCGGUUUUUUAAGUCUGAUGUGAAAGCCCACGGCUCAACCGUGGAGGGUCAUUGGAAACUGGAAAACUUGAGUGCAGAAGAGGAAAGUGGAAUUCCAUGUGUAGCGGUGAAAUGCGCAGAGAUAUGGAGGAACACCAGUGGCGAAGGCGACUUUCUGGUCUGUAACUGACGCUGAUGUGCGAAAGCGUGGGGAUCAAACAGGAUUAGAUACCCUGGUAGUCCACGCCGUAAACGAUGAGUGCUAAGUGUUAGGGGGUUUCCGCCCCUUAGUGCUGCAGCUAACGCAUUAAGCACUCCGCCUGGGGAGUACGACCGCAAGGUUGAAACUCAAAGGAAUUGACGGGGACCCGCACAAGCGGUGGAGCAUGUGGUUUAAUUCGAAGCAACGCGAAGAACCUUACCAAAUCUUGACAUCCUUUGACAACUCUAGAGAUAGAGCUUUCCCCUUCGGGGGACAAAGUGACAGGUGGUGCAUGGUUGUCGUCAGCUCGUGUCGUGAGAUGUUGGGUUAAGUCCCGCAACGAGCGCAACCCUUAAGCUUAGUUGCCAUCAUUAAGUUGGGCACUCUAAGUUGACUGCCGGUGACAAACCGGAGGAAGGUGGGGAUGACGUCAAAUCAUCAUGCCCCUUAUGAUUUGGGCUACACACGUGCUACAAUGGACAAUACAAAGGGCAGCGAAACCGCGAGGUCAAGCAAAUCCCAUAAAGUUGUUCUCAGUUCGGAUUGUAGUCUGCAGCUCGACUACAUGAAGCUGGAAUCGCUAGUAAUCGUAGAUCAGCAUGCUACGGUGAAUACGUUCCCGGGUCU